rnacentral:rRNA from 1 species
CACGAACCGUACGAACGUUAUUCGGAAUUACUGGGCUUAAAGGGUGUGUAGGCGGUUAUGUUAGUCUUUUGUUAAAGCCUCGGGCUUAACCCGAGAAAUGCAGAAGAAACGGCAUAACUAUGAGAGUGUGAGAGGUUUGUGGAACUCAUGGUGUAGGGGUGAAAUCCGUUGAUAUCAUGGGAACGCCAAAAGCGAAGGCAGCAAACUGGCACAUAUCUGACGCUGAGACACGAAAGCGUGGGUAGCGAACGGGAUU